UACGUAGGGUGCAAGCGUUGUCCGGAAUUAUUGGGCGUAAAGAGCUCGUAGGCGGUCUGUCGCGUCCGUUGUGAAAACUCGAGGCUCAACCUCGGGCUUGCAGUGGAUACGGGCAGACUAGAGUGCGGUAGGGGAGACUGGAAUUCCUGGUGUAGCGGUGGAAUGCGCAGAUAUCAGGAGGAACACCGAUGGCGAAGGCAGGUCUCUGGGACGGUACUGACGCUGAGGCGCGAAAGCGUGGGGGAGCAAACAGG
rnacentral:rRNA from 1 species